CCCCGGUGUGAUUGCGAUGGGGUGACGGAGAAGGCUAGUUCAGCAGGGGUUGGUUCCCUGUUUAAGCAUGUAGGAGGAGUUGCCAGGCAAAUCCGGCAGCUCUUAACUCCGAGGUGUGAUGACGAGGCUCCACGCGAGCCGAAGUGAAUAACGCCCCGCUUCCAGGAAAAGCCUCUAAGCUUCAGAUCACAUUGGACCGUACCGUAAACCGACACUGGUGGGUGAGCAGAUAAUCUGCCAAGGCGCUUGAGAGAACUCGGGUUAAGGAACUCUGCAAAUUGAUACCGUAACUUCGGAAGAAGGUAUGCCUUCGACGGUGUAGGGAUUUACUCCCGAAGCUGUUGAAGGUCGCAGGUAAUCGGUGGCUGCGACUGUUUAUCAAAAACACAGGACUCUGCGAACACGCAAGUGGAAGUAUAGGGUCUGACGCCUGCCCGGUGCCGGAAGGUUAAUUGAUGGGGUUAGCCGCAAGGCGAAGCUCUUGAUCGAAGCCCCGGUAAACGGCGGCCGUAACAAUAACGGUCCUAAGGUAGCGAAAUUCCUUGUCGGGUAAGUUCCGACCUGCACGAAUGGCGUAACGCUGGCCACACUGUCUCGACCCGAGACUCAGUGAAGUUGAAAUCGCUGUGAAGAUGCGGCGUUCCCGCGGCAAGACGGAAAGACCCCGUGAACCUUCACUACAGCUUUACACUGAACUUUGAACCUUUCUGUGUAGGAUAGGUGGGAGGCUAUGAAACUUGGGCGCUAGCUCGAGUGGAGCCAACCUUGAAAUACCACCCUGGGAUGUUUGAAGUUCUAACCUUGGUCCGUAAUCCGGAUUGGGGACAGUGUAUGGUGGGUAGUUUGACUGGGGCGGUCUCCUCCCAAAGAGUAACGGAGGAGUGCAAUGGUACGCUCAGCGCGGUCGUCAUCGCGCUCUAGAGUGCAAAGGCAUAAGCGUGCUUAACUGUGAGACAGACACGUCGAACAGGUACGAAAGUAGGUCUUAGUGAUCCGGUGGUUCUGUAUGGAAGGGCCAUCGCUCAACGGAUAAAAGGUACUCCGGGGAUAACAGGCUUAUUCCUCCCAAGAGUCCACAUCGACGGAGGAGUUUGGCACCUCGAUGUCGGCUCAUCACAUCCUGGGGCUGUAGCAGGUCCCAAGGGUAUGGCUGUUCGCCAUUUAAAGUGGUACGCGAGCUGGGUUCAGAACGUCGUGAGACAGUUCGGUCCCUAUCUGCCGUGGGCGUUGGAAACUUGAGGGUGAGCUGUCCUUAGUACGAGAGGACCGGGAUGGACGUAUCUCUGGUGUUCCGGUUGUCACGCCAGUGGCACUGCCGGGUAGCUAUAUACGGACGGGAUAAGCGCUGAAAGCAUCUAAGCGCGAAGCCCCCCCCAAGAUUAGGUUUCCCUGGGAACUCGAUUCCCCUAAAGGGCCGUCGGAGACUACGACGUUGAUAGGCUGGGUGUGUAAGUGCAGCAAUGCAUUGAGCUAACCAGUACUAAUUGCCCGUGAGGCUUGACC
rnacentral:rRNA from 1 species